UGGGCCUGGCGCACCCCACCAAUUCUAGUUCAAUGAUUUUCUGGUUUCAGAAUGGUCUGGCGACAAGUGGGAUGUAGAAAGGGGACCCUACACCUUAUGUGUAGUUUGUUGUCCUCCUUGAAGUUUCUGUCUGACGUCUCAUAGUUUGUGGGAAAUCAAUCUCGAAUAAAUUAGCUAGCAAGUUUAAAUUUUAUAAUUAUAAGUGCUCUCGGGCACGUUGGUAUUGUGAACACACUUGAAAGCUUAAAUGUGAGCACCUAGUCAUGCAGAGCCCUUUAGGUUGUCCCUUUCUGUGUUGAAUUUGAAUAACUCAUCCGACAUCCACGAUUCUUGCUGACAUGAAAGCGCAUUUCUCGCUACUUUCUGCUCCUUGAUUUUAGUGACUUGAUCGUAUCUUCCUCUUCUGGGUUGAGUAGCAUUAAUUAGGAUAUAAUCUCCCUAAAUAAAAUGUUAAAUUUGAUAGAAAUAUAAUUUGUAUUGGAGACAUUGAUUUUUCAUCUUUCUUCUAUGUCCAAUCUCCUAAAUUGGUACUAAUCAAAUAUUUAUAUAGGAAAUGUGCUAUUUUUCGACACCCUAAUUUAGCUAUGCGAGAGUUCUGAUCAGAGAACUAAUUUCACGAAAGUGGUUAAUGUAAUAAGUAGAAUUUUGGUGAAGAACGGUGUACUAAAUUCCCAGGUCAAUUUUAGCUGGCCUUGACCAUCUUAGUGAAGUUUGUAUAGCAAAGAUAUUUCCAUGAUACUCCCUCUUCACCUUGAACUCCAACUUAAUAGUAAUUCAGUUUUGUAACACUAAUAAUUGAUAAUUUUUUUGAGAAAACGAGUUAUCGAUCUUCAAGAAAUGUGUACAAAAGAUCAGGAUUAUUUUUUCUGGAGCGAAAAAGGGUUUCGCCAUAUUGCUGUGCUUUACACUUUCAACCUGUUGAAAUCUUAAUCCGAAGACGUUUUGUGUAUGUAUUGGAAAUGGGAUAGGAGGAGGAUGAUUUUAAAGUUUCACUUUGUUGUCCCACAUGGAGUCUAGAGAAAGAGUGAGGAAAAUUUGAGUACCAUAAAAGAGCCGCCCUA
rnacentral:lncRNA from 1 species